UGAUCCAAAAAUUCCACUUCUAGGUAUUUACCUUAAGAAAGCAAAAACACUAACUCAAAAAGAUAUAUACACCCCCAUGUUCACUGAAGGAUUAUUUACAAUAGCCAAGACAUGUACACAAUCUAAGUUUCCAUCAACAGAUGAAUGGAUAAAGAAGAUAUGGUACAUGUAUGCAAUGGAAUAUUACUCAGCCAUAAAAAGGGAAUUCCAACAUGGAUGGGCCUUGAGGGCAUUAUGCUAAGUUAAAUAGUCAGAUAGACAAAGACAAACACUGUAUGGUCUCACUUAUAUGUGGAAUCUAAAGAAACAAAACAAAACAAAAAUAAAAAACCCAGCUUACAGAGAGCAGAUUGGUGGUUGCCAGAGUCAGGGGUAGAGGUGUGGGCAAAAUGGGUGAAGGUGGUCAAAAGGUACAAACUGCUAGUUACGAAAUAAAUAAGUCAUGGGGGUGUAAUGUACAACAUGGUGACUAUAGUUAAAAAUACUGCAUUGCAUAUUUACAAGUCGCUAAGAGAGUAAGUCUUAAAAGUUCUCAUCAUACACACAAAUUCGUAACUAAGUAUGGUGACAGAUGUUAAGUGAACUUGUGGUGACCAUUUCACAAUAUAUACAUAUAUCAAAUCAUUAUGUUGUGCACCUGGAACUAAUACAUUAUAUGUCAAUUAUACCUCAAUAAUAAUAAAGAAUAAGAAAAAUUCACUUGUUAACUCACCUCUGGGAACUCAACCUUGGAACUGGAAGCAGGAGGAAAAACAACAUCCUUUCUGGAACUCUGUGUUCCCAGCUUCAGAGAUGCUCCUGUGAUCAAGCCACAGAUGAGACGGUACCUGAGAACCAGACUUAACGCUUACUGGAGGAACAUGUAUGUAUAUAUCUGCUUACCUCAGUCACUCAGAGACACAGGAGUUCUGAGGCUGCAUCACCACAUGUGUUUCCACAUCACCCUGCAGUUGGAAAGUGAGGUGGUGACCCCCCAAACCACUCUUCAAGUUUCUUCUUGGAAGGGACACACAUCACUUAAUGCUCAAAAUUCACUGGAGACACCAACUCACAUGGCCAUAUCUGAUUUCAAGAAGAUGGGAAAGUGCAAUCCUACCAUGUGCCCAGAAAAGGGAGAAACCAGGAAAAGUUGGGGAGCAACCCCAUAGACUACCCCACCAACCAGACAUGGAACGAAGGUUAGAAACCCUCUUGGAUGGAAUUGCUACAGUAAUCUCUAGGCAGCCCAGGAUUGGUAACUAAUACAAGCAGCUGAGCAGUUGAGGAAGAACUUGACUUUCCCAAAGCAUGGUAAAGUUCAAAACUAUUUUCAUGUUCCUUCUCUCUUUUGCGAGAUAAACCAGGCAUGAGUUAUUAUCCCCAUUUUAAAGAAAAGAGAGGCUCCGAGAAAUGACAUGUUUUUCCAGAUACCACACUGCUUCAGGUGACAAAGGCAGAACCACCACCAGAGCUCCAAUUCAGAAUCAUCUCCCAUCCCUCUGUGCCAGCCACCACCCUGGGUACAUCUUCGGGCACCAGCGACUCCUGAGCCCCAAUCUGUGUGCUAAAGUAAGGCGUGAUGUGGGAGAUUGGAGUGAGUGGCUAGAAAGCAAUAAGACCGCAAUUAGUUUGGUGUUUUAAGUAAAAAGAUGCCUUGUUCAUCAAAAACAAAGAAUUCAAUAUUACUCUUAAUAUAGACUUUUUGACUAUAUAAGCAAUAUAUGGUCAUUGUAAAUAUUUGGAAAAUAUUAAACAUAUCCAGAAAAAAAUUAAAAUUAUCCACCCAGAUUUAAAUACUGUUUUUGAAAAGCUCCUUGUUCAAAUGAAAAUUCUGGGCCUGUAAAAACAUAUGAAAGAAACCCAAGUGUACUCACCAUGUAGCUUUAGAACAAGUCAUCAUUGUAAUUGCAGUUGAAGCCUCCUCCUCUGUAGCUUUCUGAUCCUCUCCCUUUCCCUCCAGAGGUAACUAGUAUCCAGGAUUUGGUGGGGUUUUUUUUUUCUUUUUUUGCCGUACGCGGGCCUCUCCCAUUGCAGAGCACAGGCUCCAGACGCGCAGGCUCAGCGGCCAUGGCUCACGGGCCCAGGCGCUCCGCGGCAUGUGGGAUCUUCCCAGACCGGGGCACGAACCCGCGUCCCCUGCAUCGGCAGGCGGACUCUCAACCACUGCGCCACCAGGGAAGCCCCAGGAUUUGGUGUUUAUAAAAUUUUCUGUAUGUCCUAAUGUCAACUACAUGUGAAUAUACUCAUAAAAAUUUGCUCAUGUUUUCAAAUUUUAUUUAAAUGGCAUCAUACUAUACUAACUUUUGGCGACUUGUAUAUUUUUUUCUCUGAAUAUUAUGUUUUUAAGAGUUAUCCAGGUUGACACAAGCAGCCCUAGUUCAUUCAUUUAACUGCCUUGAACCGCACUUCUCAAACUUUUAUAGGCAUAAGAAUCACCAGGGGAGCUUGUUAAAAUACAGAUUCUGUUUGGGUAGGUCUGGAAUUCUCAGGUGGAGUGAAUGAGGCUGGUGAGGAAUCACAUUUUGGGGAAAAGGGCUGUAUAGUAUUCCUUUGAAUGCACAUGGCACAAUUUAUUCAUCUAGUCCCCUACUGAUGGACUUUUAGCUUGUCUGUAAAUUUUUGUUUUGCCAUUACAAACAAUGUUAUGGUGAGCUUUUCUUUUUUUUUGCAUCUCUCUUGGCACACCUGUGCAAGAGAUCUCUACCUUACAGACGGAGGAAAGGAGUUGCUGGGUUACACAGCCUGCAGCUGUUCAAUUUAAGUCCUGCUGAGUUGCUCUCCAAAGUUGUAGCUCCAAUUGAUCACUGCCAGCAGUUCAGAAGAAUUCCUUUUGUUCCACAUCCUUGCUGCACAUGGUAUUGUCAGUGUCAGUCACAUCCUGCCCCUGAAGCGAUGGGAAGAGAAAGGCCUAGCUGCUUGAAUGGAGGGAAGGCGGAGGGAAGGGGAGAUGGUGGCCGUGUGAAAUGGUGCAGCCGAUGUAGAAAACCAUUUGGCAGUUUCUCAAAAGGUUAAACAUAGCGUUACCAUGUGACUCAGCAAUUCUCCUGUGUGUACACCCAAGAGAAAUAAAAAUAUAGGUCCAUAUAAAAACAGAUGUUCAGGGCUUCCCUGGUGGCGCAGUGGUCGAGAGUCCGCCUGCCGAUGCAGGGGACACGGGCUCGUGCCCCGGUCCGGGAAGAUCCCACAUGCCGCGGAGCAGAUGGGCCCGUGAGCCAUGGCCGCUAAGCCUGCGCGUCCGGAGCCUGUGCUCCGCAACAGGAGAGGCCACAACAGUGAGAGGCCCGCGUAUUGCAAAAUAAAUAAAUAAAUAAAUAAAGAUGAAUGGUGUGCUGGUACCUGCUACAACAUGAAUGAAUCUUGGAAACAUACAAAGUGAAAAACGCUUGACACAUAAGACCAGGUAUUGUCUGAUUCCAUUUACAUGAAUGUCCAGAACAGGCAAAUCUAUAGACAUAAGGUAUAUCAGUGGUUGCCUAGGUCUGAGGGGAAAGGGACUGGGGAGGAAUGAGGAGUGGCUGCUAAUGGGUCUGGGGUUUCCUUUUAAGGUGAUGAAUGUUCUAGAAUUGAUUAUGGUGUUGGUUACACAACCCUCUGAAUAUACUAAAAGUCAUUGAAUUGUACACUUUAAAAGUGUGGAUUGUAUGGUAUGUGAUUUAUAUCCCAAUAA